CCAUCUGGGAUUAAGACUGAAAGCCUCUUAAGUCUGAAUCCCGCCCAGAAAUGCAACGAUACUAUCGGUGCCCCUACGCCGGGAGGCAACGAUAUACUCGGCCCGAAAUCCGAUUUCGGCGGCCGAGACUGGCUAAAGCCACUGCGAUACUGGCCACACCCGCUGUCUUGAAAUUUGGCAGUGGAGGCACAGACACGAUACCACUUGAUUGAGACGUAGGGGUUCUAUAUCGUUUGUAGACGACUUAGAUCUCGGUCGGGGUGCCGUACUUAGUUGAGCAGUUCUUCACUGCGAUCUAUUGAGGCUAAGCCUUUUGACGGGGAGAUAUGU
rnacentral:ncRNA from 1 species